AGUGAACGCUGGCGGUAGGCCUAACACAUGCAAGUCGAACGGCAGCACAGGAGAGCUUGCUCUCUGGGUGGCGAGUGGCGGACGGGUGAGGAAUACAUCGGAAUCUACUUUUUCGUGGGGGAUAACGUAGGGAAACUUACGCUAAUACCGCAUACGACCUACGGGUGAAAGCAGGGGACCUUCGGGCCUUGCGCGAUUGAAUGAGCCGAUGUCGGAUUAGCUAGUCGGCGGGGUAAAGGCCCACCAAGGCGACGAUCCGUAGCUGGUCUGAGAGGAUGAUCAGCCACGCUGGAACUGAGACACGGUCCAGACUCCUACGGGAGGCAGCAGUGGGGAAUAUUGGACAAUGGGCGCAAGCCUGAUCCAGCCAUACCGCGUGGGUGAAGAAGGCCUUCGGGUUGUAAAGCCCUUUUGUUGGGAAAGAAAUCCAGCUGGCUAAUACCCGGUUGGGAUGACGGUACCCAAAGAAUAAGCACCGGCUAACUUCGUGCCAGCCGCCGCGGUAA
rnacentral:rRNA from 1 species